CUGGCAGUUGUAAGGCGUGGCAGAGAAGAAUGUUUCAGUGAGAUGGAUUUGGAUUUGUUCACAAAACAACAGCACAGUUUGAGUCUGUUCACAUCCGAAGGUGAGAGGCCAGGGUUUUUAUAGAAGGUGCGGUUGGAAUAAAAAUGUCCCAUCCACUGAAGUGGAAUGUUUCCUCUCCAGAAGUAGCCAAUACAGAGGACACCAAAUCUUUGGAAGGGAGAAUUUGAUUUUGAUAUCUGGCACUGACACCAUUGUUGAUCUCAUCUUGGCUCAAACAAGCACACGACU